GCUUUUAUAAUUUAAAUAAAAAUAUUGAUUUUGUAAAUCAAAAAUACUAUUAGUUUAAAGCA
rnacentral:tRNA from 1 species